rnacentral:rRNA from 1 species
UUCAGAGGUCUCAAGCGUUGUUCGGAUUCAUUGGGCGUAAAGGGUGCGUAGGCGGCGCGGUAAGUCGGGUGUGAAAUUUCGAGGCUUAACUUCGAAACUGCAUUCGAUACUGCCGUGCUAGAGGACUGGAGAGGAGACUGGAAUUCAUGGUGUAGCAGUGAAAUGCGUAGAGAUCAUGAGGAAGACCAGUGGCGAAGGCGGGUCUCUGGACAGUUCCUGACACUGAGGCACGAAGGCCAGGGGAGCAAACGGG